rnacentral:rRNA from 1 species
CCCCACUGCUAUCGGGAUGGGACUAAGACAUGCUAGUCAAGCGCCUUCCAGCCAUGUGGGAGGUGCGGCGUACAGCUCAGUAACACGUGGCUAACCUGCCCUUGGGACGGGAACAACCCCGGGAAACUGGGGCUAAUUCUCGAUAGGUGAAGAACUCUGGAAUGAGUCUUUGCCUAAAAGACACUUGGAUCAUGCUUUCAGGUGUCGCCCAAGGAUGGGGCCGCGACCGAUCAGGUUGUUGGUGAGGUAAUGGCCCACCAAGCCUAUAACCGGUGCGGGCCGUGAGAGCGGGAGCCCGGAGAUGGGCACUGAGACAAGGGCCCAGGUCCUACGGGGCGCAGCAGUCGCGAAACCUUUGCAAUACACGCAAGUGUGACAGGGUCAUCCCGAGUGCCGACCGCUGAGGUUGGCUUUUACCCAGUCUAGAAAGCUGGGGGAAUAAGGAGAGGGCAAGUCUGGUGUCAGCCGCCGCGGUAAUACCAGCUCUCCGAGUGGUGUGGACGUUUAUUGGGCCUAAAGCAUCCGUAGCUGGCUGAGCAAGUCCCCUGUUAAACCCACCGAUUUAAUCGUUGGCUUGCGGGGGAAACUGUUCGGCUAGGGGACGAGAGAGGCAGACGGUAUUCCCGGGGUAGGGGUGAAAUCCUAUAAUCCCGAGAAGACCACCAGUGGCGAAGGCUGUCUGCUAGAACGCGCCCGACGGUGAGGGAUGAAAGCUGGGGGAGCGAACCGGAUUAGAUACCCGGGUAGUCCCAGCUGUAAACGAUGCAGGCUAGGUGUUUGGACGGCCACGUGCCGUUCUAGUGCCGCAGGGAAGCUGUUAAGCCUGCCGCCUGGGGAGUACGAUCGCAAGAUUGAAACUUAA